CAGUAGCCGCGGUAAUACGUAGGUGGCAAGCGUUGUCCGGAAUUAUUGGGCGUAAAGGGCUCGCAGGCGGUUUCUUAAGUCUGAUGUGAAAGCCCCCGGCUCAACCGGGGAGGGUCAUUGGAAACUGGGAAACUUGAGUGCAGAAGAGGAGAGUGGAGUUCCACGUGUAGCGGUGAAAUGCGUAGAGAUGUGGAGGAACACCAGUGGCGAAGGCGACUCUCUGGUCUGUAACUGACGCUGAGGAGCGAAAGCGUGGGGAGCGAACAGGAUUAGAUACCCCAGUAGUCCCUGUCUCUUAUAC
rnacentral:rRNA from 1 species